GUAAAGUUAUUAUAAGUUAUUAUAUUUAAUUUUCGAUUAAAUGAUUAUCUUUAUA
rnacentral:tRNA from 2 species